AUUGAACGCUGGCGGCAGGCCUAACACAUGCAAGUCGAGCGGGGUUUUCGGACCUAGCGGCGGACGGGUGAGUAAUGCGUAGGAAGCUGCCCGAUAGAGGGGGAUACCAGUUGGAAACGACUGUUAAUACCGCAUAAUGUCUACGGACCAAAGUGUGGGACCUUCGGGCCACAUGCUAUCGGAUGCGCCUACGUGGGAUUAGGUAGUUGGGGAGGUACUGGCUCACCAAGGCGACGAUCGAUAGCUGGUAUGCGAGGAUGAACAGCCACACUGGAACUGAGACACGGUCCAGACUCCUGGGGGAGGCAGCAGUGGGGAAUAUUAGAGAAUGGGCGAGAGCCUGAUCCAGCCAUGCCGCGUGUGUGAAGAAGGCCUUCGGGUUGUAAAGCACUUUCAGCGAGGAGGAAGGGUGGUGUGUUAAUAGCACAUCAUUUUGACGUUACUCGCAGAAGAAGCACCGGCUAACUCUGUGCCAGCAGCCGCCGUAAAAC
rnacentral:rRNA from 1 species